CCCUUCCCCUGUUCCACUGUCCUUGUGCUGAUCUGUACUUGCUGCUCAUGCUCUUCAGGGUCAGGGGAAGGCCUGGAUACCUUCAGUGGUUGCCAACCAGCUUCUGGGUUGUUUGGAUUUCAUAACUUCUACCCAGGAAACUCAGCUGAAGCCUGCACAGCUCUCCCUGCUAACUGACAACGAAAAACUGCCUUCCUCUUUGUGUCAGCUCUGACGUUCCUGAGCUGCUGCGACUCACCCAAGAAAAGCCUUUUCUGCUGGAGCACUCACACAAAACUACUGCUUAUCCUCUGCAAAGGCAUAGAAAGAAGGAGCAACAAGAGCCUGUGGAGGGAUUGGACCUAAAUAAAGGUUAAAAUCAAGCAGACGUGUUGAAGAUACUGGAACAAGUAGUGAGAAAAAAUAGCAGAGUACGUGUAGUUGUGCAAGUAAAUAAAGAAAUUCUUUGUUAUU